UUUGUCAGGUACCUUCCCAAGAGUAGGCUAUGAUUCUUCUGUCAUUCCCACAUUCAAUCAGUUGCAAAGCCUGUACAUGUUACCAUGCCUCUCUGAUUCAGUGCCUCCAUUACCUCUUAUCCACGUUCAGGCAAUAGCUUCUCUACAGGUCUUCAUACCUUCUGUAGCAAACUGUUACUCCAACUCAUUCUUUGCCUGUUGCCAUGUUAAUAUCCCAAUGGUAAAUCUUCUGUCCUGCUUAAAAACUUUCAUUACCUCCCCAAAGUCUCUCAAAUUAAUAAAUCUCUGUCAUUCAGCAUUCAACCUCUGUCACCUGCACUCAUAAGCACAGAACUGGUCACAUUUUUUAAAAUGUCUAUUUUUUUGUAAUUGAUUGUCUGCCUCCCCUAGCAGGCUGCAAGGUGUACGGGAGCAGCAAUUGUGCCUGUUUUGCUUAUUUUUAUACUUAGUCCCUUGCCAGGUAUGUGGAAGGGAUGUGCUGAAUAAAUUAGCUUUUCCAACCUUACUUCUUAAUCUUUCUCUCCUCUAAUAUGAUUCCAACCCAGCUGGAUCAUAUACUAUUUUCUGAAUAUGCCCUAUGCUUUCUCAUCUUCGGACCUCUGUUCAUGUUCUAUUAACACAGCUGCCAGUUAUUAACAGUGAUAUUAUGGUUGAACGCCUACCAUACAAUCACACAGUUGAUGCAAAUUUCAACUUACACAUUAUUAUUUCUGUGAUCCUGGGCAAGUUUCCUAGCUCCUGUGAAUCUUGGCUUUUGGUUUUUCCAUUUAUGAGAUGGGAAUCUAGUAAUUCCCACCCCAUACUUUUGUAUGAGGAUCAGAUGAGCCAGGACACAGGUUGAAAGCCUUGGUACAUGUCCAGUAUGGGUUGCUAUUGUUAUAUUGCAUGCUAGGCUCUUCACAGACCUGGCUCUAGUUCUCAAAGCAGCCCUGUGGGAAAGGUACUGGUGGUUCCAAUUUAGAGAUGAAGAAAUAGAGGCUCAGAAAGGCUUAGUUGCCUGCAGCUGGUGAGUAAUACAGCCGGAUUCUGACCUAGGGCUGCUCAUGCCAAACCUGGCUUUUUCUACUGUCCCCACUCAUUUCCACUUAUAGGAAUUGCAUCUGUCCUUUGAAGCUCCCCGCAAAUGCCAUCACUUCCAAGAGAGCUGUUUUGAUUCUCUCCUGGUCUGAUACCUUCUCCCAUGCAUGAUGUUUUUAUCUGUGGUCAGUAGUAGUAUACUUAGAGAUCUGGGUUUCUGUGGGUAGCUCUACCCAUGAGACAGGCUUGAGAAUGCCUGCCUGUCAAUUGAAUUCCUCUAAAUUUGCUCUCUGGCCAUAUUGUCUUAAUUCUUUCUUUUCUAUACUUUAGUCCAAGUAGACUCUAAAAGCCUUUCUCUAGGGCAUACCCAGAGAUAAGCCAUAUAAACUAUUGCCUUCUGGUCCAAAUUUGUUUCCCUUCAGCGAAAUGGUCCUCAUCCCAACAACCUUUUAGUCUGGACAUAUGAAAUCUGAAAUGCUUCUGUACUCUUUUGCUAUCUUACUGUAGAAUCACAAACAUAUCAAACUGUAAAACCAUUGAGCAGGCCUUGCUCUGUUUUUGUGCAGGAAGAGACCCAAGGAGCAAGGAAUGUAUACUUACCAGAAACUUACUAUAGACCCAGCAUGAUAUUUAGUUAUGAAUAAUACAGAGAAGGAAACCUGGACCUUGUUUUCAAGAAAUUCAGUUGGUUCCAGGCACCAAGCACUGAACUAAGUGCUUUAUUAACAUGAUCUAAUCCAUUUCCCGGGGGCUGCUGGAGAUGUUGGCUAACUGCGUUUACCCUCCGGAUCUCUCAUUCUAGGUUUUCAUACUCUGCACACCAUCCUUGGGGUCCAGUGUCUCCCUUUGCAUAACCUGCUGCAUUGCAUUGACAGUGGAGUGUUGCUUCUCACUGAAACAGCUGUCAUAAGGCUCAUGAAAGAUCUGGACAAUACAGAGAAAAAUGAAAAACUGAAAUUCAGUAUCAUUGUGCGGCUUCCUCCGCUUAUUGGUCAGAAGAUUUGUAGACUUUGGGAUCAUCCUAUGAGUUCUAACAUCAUUUCACGGAACCACGUGACGCGACUGCUUCAGAACUAUAAGAAACAGGUGCGUUUCUCUGAAAGCACAGCCAACUAAAUGUUUUUAGGAUCCUGUUUGCCCGUGACAACAUAUCUGUAUUUUAAAAUUGUGCUUAUUGUGGAGAACCAACUUACACCAGAAGUGGUUUCCCUUUUAGCGUCGGAAUUCUAUGAUUGACAAGUCAUCGUUCAGUGUAGAAUUUCUGCCUCUGAACUACUUCAUUGAAAUUCUGACAGAUAUAGAGUCCUCCAAUCAAGGUAAUUUACUCCCCUGUUCUCAGGGUCUUUCCACUUUUCCCUUGACACAUCAGUCCUUCCCUAUUCACUUCUUUGAACUGUUUUCUUUCCAAAAUCCUUUUAACAUACAAGUAGGCCCUUAUAGCAAUUGGUUUACAUUAGCAGUACCCAAUUUACUACCUAGAGUAAAUUACCAAAUAUCACCUCUGAAGUUUUAAAAGAGUCAAGAGGUUUAAAGCCCAUUUGGUUGAUGCAAAUGUUCUUGGUGCUAAAGUUUAAUAAAAUUUAAGAACACAUUCUUAAAAAAUUCAUUUUACUAAAAUACCAUUAUGAUUUUAAUGAGCUGUGAGCACAAAGUUAUAAAUGUUUCACGGCCCCAUGGUAACCCUUUUUCCCUGCCCCCUUCCCAUUUUUUUCCAGCCCUGUAUCCUUUUGAAGGACGUGACAAUGUGGAUGCAGAAUUUGUAGAGGAAGCAGCUCUGAAACACACCACGAUGCUUUUAGGCUUAUGAAAAAGAAAACGCAAUUGGAUCUGCUGCUGCCAUUUUAAUCUUGCUCAUUAACCUUACUCCUUUGAGAAUUCUUUAACAAUAUUUGAAAUUGGGAACAAAAAUAAAUUGUUUAGCCAUCUGAGUUUCAGGUUGGUACACGUUCGGACAGAACUGCUGUAUCACAUUCCAAUUGUGAGCAAUCAAGUGUAGAGAAAUGAUAAAUAGCCUAAGGCGGCAUACAGUGGCAUAAACAAUGCUCUUCCUAGUAGCUUAAUAGGCCAUAAGCUAGUUUCUGUUGCACUCUGAAAUAAAAUAUGCUUUAAAAAUGUAGGGAACAGUGCUUAGAAAAGCAAAAACUAGGUGUGUCAUUGAAAUAAUAGGCAGAAAAAUUAAAUGUUACAUAAGAACACUAUUUGGAAAGAGGCUCCUUUUAAAAACUGAAUUUGUACUAAAUCAGAUUUGCCAUGUCCAGUACAGAAUAAUUUGUACUUUUAGUAUUUGCAGCAGGGUUUGUCUUUGUGAAUUCAGAUGAAACGUAUUUAAUUUUUUUUAUUUAUAAAAGGUUGAUUGAUUUAGGAAUAUUUUGUCAUUAAAAAGCCAAACCUGAAAACAA
rnacentral:sRNA from 1 species